rnacentral:rRNA from 1 species
AUUGAACGCUGGCGGCAGGCCUAACACAUGCAAGUCGAACGAGUGGCGGACGGGUGAGUAAUGUCUGGGAAACUGCCUUAUGGAGGGGGAUAACUACUGGAAAAGGUAGCUAAUACCGCAUACAAUCAGAUGUGCCACGAUGGGAUGAGCUUGUGGGUGGGGUAACGGCUCACCAAGGCGACGAUCCCUAGCUGGUCGUAGAGGAUGACCCGCCAUACUGGAACUGAGACACUGUCCAGACGCCUACGGGAGGCAGCAGGGGGGAAUAUUGAACAAUGGGCGCAAGCCUUAUGCAGCCCUGCCGCGUGUAUGAAGAAGGCCUUCGGGUUGUAAAGUACUUUCAGCGGGGAGGCGUUACCCGCAGAAGAAGCACCGGCUAACUCCGUGCCAGCCGCCGCGAUAAUAC